rnacentral:piRNA from 1 species
UCCUACGUUCAACAACAACAA